AACUUUCAACAACGGAUCACUUGGCUCUCGCAUCGAUGAAGAACGCAGCGAAAUGCGAUAGUUAAUGUGAAUUGCAGAAUUCAGUGAAUCAUCGAGUCUUUGAACGCACAUUGCGCCCAUUGGUAUUCCGAUGGGCACGUCUGUUUGAGCGUCAUUGCAACACCUCAGCCCGCUCUGGCGGUUUGGUCUUGGGCUCGGGCGCCUCCCUUAACUGGGAAGCCCGGCUUUAAAGUUGCACGCUCCGCGGGCCUGACCGCUCAGAAAACAUAGUAUGACUGCUAAUUGUUCCAUGAGUCCGGUCGAGGUUUCCGCCUGAACAAACUUCUUAUAACUAAGGUUUGACCUCAGAUCAGACGAGGAUACCCGCUGAACUUAAGCAUAUCAAUAAGCGGAGGCU
rnacentral:misc_RNA from 1 species